GACGAACGCUGGCGGCGUGCUUAACACAUGCAAGUCGAACGGAAAGGCCCUGCUUUUGUGGGGUGCUCGAGUGGCGAACGGGUGAGUAACACGUGAGUAACCUGCCCUUGACUUUGGGAUAACUUCAGGAAACUGGGGCUAAUACCGGAUAGGAGCUCCUGCUGCAUGGUGGGGGUUGGAAAGUUUCGGCGGUUGGGGAUGGACUCGCGGCUUAUCAGCUUGUUGGUGGGGUAGUGGCUUACCAAGGCUUUGACGGGUAGCCGGCCUGAGGGGGUGCCCGGCAAAAUGGGACCGGGAUACGGGCCCGGACUCUUCGGGGGGGAGGAGGGGGGAAUAUUGCACAAUGGGCGGAAGCCUGAUGCAGCAACGCCGCGUGCGGGAUGACGGCCUUCGGGUUGUAAACCGCUUUCGCCUGUGACGAAGCGUGAGUGACGGUAAUGGGUAAAGAAGCACCGGCUAACUACGUG
rnacentral:rRNA from 1 species